rnacentral:rRNA from 1 species
UACGUAGGGUGCAAGCGUUGCCCGGAAUUAUUGGGCGUAAAGAGCUUGUAGGCGGUUUGUCGCGUCUGCUGUGAAAUUUCGGGGCUCAACCCCGAACUUGCAGUGGGUACGGGCAGACUAGAGUGUGGUAGGGGAGACUGGAAUUCCUGGUGUAGCGGUGAAAUGCGCAGAUAUCAGGAGGAACACCGAUGGCGAAGGCAGGUCUCUGGGCAUUAACUGACGCUGAGGAGCGAAAGCAUGGGGAGCGAACAGG